GACGAACGCUGGCGGCGUGCUUAACACAUGCAAGUCGAACGGAAAGGCCCUGCUUGCAGGGUACUCGAAUGGCGAACGGGUGAGUAACACGUGGGUGAUCUGCCCUGCACUUCGGGAUAAGCCGGGGAAACUGGGUCUAAUACCGGAUAGGAGCCAUUUUUAGUGUGAUGGUUGGAAAGUUUUUUCGGUGUAGGAUGAGCUCGCGGCCUAUCAGCUUGUUGGUGGGGGAAUGGCCUACCAAGGCGGCGACGGGUAGCCGGCCUGAGUGGGUGGACGGGCACAUUGGGAUUGAGACACGGCCCAGACUCCUACGGGAGGCAGCAGCGGCGAAUAUGGAAAAAGGGGCGUAAGCCUGAUGCAGCGACGCCGCGUGGGGGAGGACGGCCUUCGGGUUGUAAACGUCUUUCGCUAGCGAAGAAGCAUUUUGUGACGGUACCUAGAUAAGAAGCACCGGCUAAAUACGUG
rnacentral:rRNA from 1 species